rnacentral:rRNA from 1 species
ACAGGCUAACACAUGCAAGUCGAGGGGCAGCAUGUCGGUUGCUGCAACCGAUGAUGGCGACCGGCGCACGGGUGAGUAACGCGUAUCCAACCUGGCCCGCAGUAGGGAACAGCCCGGCGAAAGUCGGAUUAAUGCCCUAUGUCUUCCUUUGCAGGCAUCCAAUGAGGAAGAAAGAUUUAUCGCUGCGGGAUGGGGAUGCGUCUGAUUAGCUUGUCGGCGGGGUAACGGCCCACCGAGGCGACGAUCAGUAGGGGUUCUGAGAGGAAGGUCCCCCACACUGGUACUGAGACACGGACCAGACUCCUACGGGAGGCAGCAGUGAGGAAUAUUGGUCAAUGGGCGAGAGCCUGAACCAGCCAAAUAGCGUGCAGGGAACCGACUGCCCUAUGGGUUGUAAACUGUCUUUUAUGCGGGGAUAAACUUCAGCACGUGUGCUGUUUUGCAGGUACCGCAUGAAUAAGGACCGGCUAAUUCCGUGCCAGCCGCGGC